rnacentral:rRNA from 1 species
AGUCUAUACAUGCAGUCGAGCGAACUGAUUAGAAGCUUGCUUCUAUGACGUUAGCGGCGGACGGGUGAGUAACACGUGGGCAACCUGCCUGUAAGACUGGGAUAACUUCGGGAAACCGAAGCUAAUACCGGAUAGGAUCUUCUCCUUCAUGGGAGAUGAUUGAAAGAUGGUUUCGGCUAUCACUUACAGAUGGGCCCGCGGUGCAUUAGCUAGUUGGUGAGGUAACGGCUCACCAAGGCMACGAUGCAUAGCCGACCUGAGAGGGUGAUCGGCCACACUGGGACUGAGACACGGCCCAGACUCCUACGGGAGGCAGCAGUAGGGAAUCUUCCGCAAUGGACGAAAGUCUGACGGAGCAACGCCGCGUGAGUGAUGAAGGCUUUCGGGUCGUAAAACUCUGUUGUUAGGGAAGAACAAGUAYRAGAGUAACUGCUYGUACCUUGACGGUACCUAACCAGAAAGCCACGGCUAACUACGUGCCAGCAGCCGCGGUAAUACGUAGGUGGCAAGCGUUAUCCGGAAUUAUUGGGCGUAAAGCGCGCGCAGGCGGUUUCUUAAGUCUGAUGUGAAAGCCCACGGCUCAACCGUGGAGGGUCAUUGGAAACUGGGGAACUUGAGUGCAGAAGAGAAAAGCGGAAUUCCACGUGUAGCGGUGAAAUGCGUAGAGAUGUGGAGGAACACCAGUGGCGAAGGCGGCUUUUUGGUCUGUAACUGACGCUGAGGCGCGAAAGCGUGGGGAGCAAACAGGAKUAGAUACCCUGGKAGUCCACGCCGUAAACGAUGAGUGCKAAGUGUKAGAGGGKKUCCGCCCUUUAGUGCUGCAGCUAACGCAUUAAGCACUCCGCCUGGRGGAGKACGGUCGGCAAGACUGAARMUCAWGAGURUWWUUGMSGGAAA